rnacentral:rRNA from 1 species
AGUGAACGCUGGCGGCAGGCCUAAUACAUGCAAGUCGAACGGCAGCACAGCAGAGCUUGCUCUGUGGGUGGCGAGUGGGCGGACGGGUGAGGAAUACGUGGGAAUCUGCCCAGUCGUGGGGGAUAACGUAGGGAAACUUACGCUAAUACCGCAUGCGCCUUCGGGGAAAGCCGGGGACCUUCGGGCCUGGCGCGAUUGGAUGAGCCCACGUCGGAUUAGCUAGUUGGCGGGGUAAAGGCCCACCAAGGCGACGAUCCGUAGCUGGUCUGAGAGGAUGAUCAGCCACACUGGAACUGAGACACGGUCCAGACUCCUACGGGGAGGCAGCAGUAGGGAAUAUGGACAAUGGGCGCAAGCCUGAUCCAGCCAUGCCGCGUGAGUGAAGAAGGCCUCGGUGU